rnacentral:rRNA from 2 species
CCUACGGGAGGCAGCAGUGGGGAAUAUUGGACAAUGGGCGAAAGCCUGAUCCAGCAAUGCCGCGUGUGUGAAGAAGGCCUGCGGGUUGUAAAGCACUUUCAGUGGGGAAGAAAAGCUCGGGGCUAAUACCUCCGGGCCUUGACGUUACCCACAGAAGAAGCACCGGCUAACUCCGUGCCAGCAGCCGCGGUAAU